ACGAACGCUGGCGGCAUGCUUAACACAUGCAAGUCGAACGAGAAAGGUUCUUCGGGACCAAGUAGAGUGGCGCACGGGUGAGUAACGCGUAGAUAACCUGCCCUUAAGACUGGGAUAACGUUUCGAAAGGAACGCUAAUACCGGAUGAUAACUUUCUACAGAAGUAGAGGGUUUAAAAGUUGAGGCGCUUGAGGAUGGGUCUGCGUCCCAUUAGCUAGUUGGUAGGGUAAAAGCCUACCAAGGCAACGAUGGGUAGCGGGUUUGAGAGGAUGAUCCGCCACACUGGCACUGAGAUACGGGCCAGACUCCUACGGGAGGCAGCAGUGGGGAAUAUUGCGCAAUGGGCGAAAGCCUGACGCAGCAAUGCCGCGUGAGUGAAGAAGGUUUUCGGAUCGUAAAGCUCUUUGUCUCUGCGAAGAUAAUGACGGUAGCAGAGGAAUAAGCACCGGCUAACUACGU
rnacentral:rRNA from 1 species